rnacentral:tRNA from 2 species
GGAGCGGCUGGGCCCGGUGGCCCACCCGGCCUUCAAAGCCGGUCAAGCGGCGGCGACCCCGUCGUGGGUAGGUUCGACUCCUACGCCGCUCCG